UCAGACGAUGCGUCAUGCAUAUCAAUAAGCGGAGGAAAAGAAACUAACAAGGAUUCCCCUAGUAACGGCGAGUGAAGCGGGAAGAGCUCAAAUUUGAAAUCUUAAAGGGUUUCCCUUUACGAAUUGUAGUUUAAAGAAGUGUUUUCUGUUGAGGUUUUGGUAAAAGUUCUUUGGAAUAGGACAUCAUAGAGGGUGAGAAUCCCGUAUUUGACCUUUACUUUCAACUUUGUGAUACACUUUCAAAGAGUCGGAUUGUUUGGGAAUGCAGUCCAAAAUGGGUGGUAAAUUUCAUCUAAAGCUAAAUAUUGGCGAGAGACCGAUAGCGAACAAGUACCGUGAGGGAAAGAUGAAAAGAACUUUGAAAAGAGAGUUAAACAGUACGUGAAAUUGUCAAAAGGGAAGCGUUUGACACCAGUGUUGUUUUUCUGAAAAUCAAUUAAAGAAGCUGUUUAUGCUAAGCUGUUUAGACUUUAUCAGCUAUCUGUUUAGUUUUGAGCUUUUCUUUAAUGCACUUUUCAGUUAACAAGUCAACAUCAAUUUCUUUUGCUGUAAAAAAGCUUGAGGAAGGUGGCUUGAGAUUCGUCUUAAGUGUUUAUAGCCUCUUGCCUAUGCAGUCGGAGAGAUUGAGGUCUGCAGCGUAGAUCCUUCGGGGCUAAAUGCAUUUGUGCUAAGUUAUAGCAUUUUAUAGACAACUUGUUGACUAUGAUUUGUCUUGUAGCUUACUCGCUUAUGUUAUUUUACCUACGCUUAGGAUGUUGACACACGCGCGUGCUCG
rnacentral:rRNA from 1 species